rnacentral:rRNA from 1 species
CCUGUCAUCGGGGCACCUGAUCAGCAUGCCGCGUGUGUGAAGAAGGCCUUCGGGUUGUAAAGCACUUUUAUCGGGAACGAAACGUUGGCGGUGAAUAUCCUGCAAGACUGACGGUACCCGAGGAAUAAGCACCGGCUAACUUCGUGCCAGCAGCCGCGGUAAUACGAAGGGUGCAAGCGUUACUCGGAAUUACUGGGCGUAAAGGGUGCGUAGGUGGUUUUUUAAGUCUGCUGUGAAAUCCCCGGGCUCAACCUGGGAAUGGCAGUGGAUACUGGAAAGCUGGAGUGCGGUAGAGGGUAGUGGAAUUCCCGGUGUAGCAGUGAAAUGCGUAGAGAUCGGAAGGACCC